GGAGUUUGGACCGUGUCUCAGUUCCAAUGUGGGGGACCUUCCUCUCAGAACCCCUACCGAUCGAUGGCUCGGUGGGCCGUUGCCCCGCCGACUACCUAAUCGGACGCAUCCCCAUCCCUUAGCGGUAAACCUUUGCUUCAUUUCAGAUGCCAUCUACGAAGAACAUAGGGUCUUAAUCCGAUUUUCAUCGGGCUAUGCCCUACUAGGGGGAAGGUUGGAUACGCGUUACUCACCCGUGCGCCGGUCGCCAUCAACAAAAGCAAGCUUUCGUCAUGAUGCCCCUCGACUUGCAUGUGUUAAGCCUGUAGCUAGCGUUCAUC
rnacentral:rRNA from 1 species